CUCCCACGGGAUUUGGGUGCAGAGAACUGUUUAUCCAGUCUGUCCCUUCAGGUUCCGGCGGUAUCUCAGGCGCAGGGGUCCUGCCGCUCCUGGGCCCUCCCCCACCAAGACACAUUCUUUUAAAAAGAUUUGUCAAUUGAAUUGUGUGUGUGUGUGUGUGUGUGUGUGUGUGUGCAUACAUACAGGCAGUGGUGCACAGGUGGAGGUCAGAGGACAAUCUGUGGGAGUCCUCUCUUUGCACCAUGUGAAUCCCAGGGAUCGAACUCAUGUGGUCCAGUUUGGCAACAGGUGUGGGUUUACCCACUAAGCUACCUUGCUGGUCCCCUGAUACACCAUCUUAACCCUUCAAGAUUUAUGGCUUCAAAACUUAGGAAAGUGUUUUAAUAUGCACGUGCAUCUAAUAUGCCAGCUAAUAUAUGCUAAGAGAAUCCGGUAAGACGCUGAGGCUGAGUACCAGGGAGCUGGCUCAAUCAGUAAAGUGCAUGAAGACCAGAGUUCAGGUGUCCAGCACCCACAUAAGAGUCUGCUAGUCCCAGUGCUGAGAAGGCAGAAACAGGUGAGCUCCAGGAGCUUGCUGGACAUCCACUCUACCCAAAUCAAUGAGCUCCAGUUCA
rnacentral:lncRNA from 1 species